UAAACCCUAAUAAUACAGUCGCCGUCUUGCCGGCUUUCGCAUUACGAGCUGAGUUCCUAGUUUACAUCUGUAUUUCAAUUAUCUUAUUUGACUAUAACCGCUAUUUCUUUAAUUAAUGGUUAUAGUUUGUUUAAACGUGUUGAACGCUGUCUUCUAUAACCGCUGUACUGCGAGUUGCUUGGCAGAGUCGACCAGACGUAUUUUGAAAUGGAACAAAAUCAAGAACAUUACUGUUGCAAUUGAUUUUUUUUUUGGGUUUCUUUUUGUUUCAUCAUAUCCGUUGUUUUUCACGAGUGACUGAAUUGGGAUCGAAGUAGAAGCUUUUUGUUUCAAGGAUUGUGAAUGUGAAAAGCUUAAACUGUAUUCCUUUCCGGAUUUAGGGUUUUCAUCAACAUAGGUUCUUGGCCAUUCCGUUCAGCAUUCAUAUGCAAGAGCUGAAGGGGGCACUUGUCGGGCAAUCCCUUGAUGAUUUGGAUUUUUUUUUACAGUUUAUUUCGCUUUGGGUUGUGUAUCAAAUUCUCAAGUUAUUAUCAUUUGCUGAUGAGGACAAACAUAUGGGCAUGAGCUGCAACAAUAAUUUUUUUGCGCACCGUGCAGCAGAGCACGGAUUGUUGUUGCAAUGAGGUAAUGUGCCAAAAUGCUAAUCUGAGGCAUUUUCAAGUUUUUUGUUUUAAUUUAUGAAAUGGCAUAAAAUUUUGUUAGUUUCAAAACUAGUGUUGUUAGCAAGAAAUUUGUCUAAUUACUCAUGUUUUUCUUGGAUCUUAUUUUAGUAUCUUCGAUUGAGUUUGGUGCAUAUAUAGUACAGGUGUUGGUUUCUUUUAGUGCUUUCAAAUGCCUGUGAUGACAAUUUUGGACUUGAGCUGCGACGACAGUUUUGCGCUCCAUGUUAGAUUUUCUACAUGGGUUGUUGUUGCAAGGAAGAAUGUGCCAAAAUGCUAAUCUGAGGAACAAAAUUUUGACUUCCAUUAAUUUCCACUUCUGGAUUUCGUAGAAUCGAUGAUAUUUUUAGAUGCAUCAUACUCUUCUAGUUGCACGGCAUAUUCGAUUAAUGUCUAUAUGGAUGCUUGUCUGUUCGUUAUUAGAUGCAACAUACUUUUUUUUGGUUGUACGACAUAUUCCGUUGUUCCCUUUAUGGAUGCUCUCUAUUCUCACUUCCAUGGCUGUCCAUAAGCUGAGGGUAUCUGGGAAUCAUGAGUCGGCUUAACUUUUUAACAAGUAGAAAGCUCCCUGGCAAAAUCUCAUUUUGGUGCCAACAAGGAGGGUUCAUUCUCUGGAUAUUUAGAUUUAGUGUUGAAAGAACUAAGUUUUACAGAAAAUGUAGUCUUUUCUCUUAUAUUUUGUGGCAGUUUGAGUGCUCGAGUCAAUUGGGACUACGAUUCUGGAUAAGCAUUCCUUUCUUGAUUCACUGACAGAUUUGUUCACUACGUUGAUUUGUGUGAACUAAUUGCUUUUUCCUCCUCAAAAUUAGAGAAAGAAAAAUUCUGAGUAGAGGAAUUAGACAUACUGUUGACGUGUGGAUUAUUAUGAUGAAUGUGCCGGUAUCCUAUCUCAAAAAUGUCCAUUAUAUGUCAGUGAUGUUAAAGAAAAAACAGUUUCUGUGUUAGUGAAUCUGCUGAUACGUGCAUAUAUUGUGAUUGACCGUAGAGUUUGUUUGCAAAAUUUGUCAUUUUAAAUUUUGCUUGAGCUCAUAGCCAUCUAAUGGUACGGUUUGAGUAGUAGGUAAACAUAGAAGAGUAGGUAUGCAUUUUGAAUGGCAGGUUUCUGACGGUAUGAAAACUUAACGCCUAAGAUAUUCAUAUUCACUAUAUAAACACACCCAUUCAAGCUAUGCAUUCAUAAGUUUGUGUUAAUUAUGUUUAGUGGCAGUCUGUCUACCUUGAUAUCUUUUGUACAGAGCAUCUUAGUUAAACUUUGCUAGGCAUCUUUUCUAGUAGCAGUGCCAGUGGUGGCCUCAUUUCUUCUGGUGGUGAAGAAAGUUGAAAAUGGGACCUGGCGGACCUGGCGGGCCUGGCGGACCUGGCUGGGGUCCUGGUGGACCUGGCUGGGGUCCUGGGCCAGGCGGUCCAUGGGGUCCCAUUCCCGGAGGACCUGGUUUUUGGCCUGGACCUGGUGGGUGCGUUGAUGGUUUGUGCAGUGUGAUUUCUUCCUGCUUCUACUGCCUGUGCUGUUGUUGGCUGCUGCAAGAUUGUUUUGGUGGGCCUCGUGGACCGUAUGGUCCUCCCGCCGGGCCACUACCCUUUUGAUCUAGCGAACUUGCGCCCCAAAAGUUCGAUGGUUCAUUGGAUCUCAAUGGCUGUUUCCUGUGUUAAUCAUAUUUUCUACUCAUUUGAUUUAUCUCCGCAAGUUUAUAUUUGAGUAAACUGUAUUAUAGCAACUGUUUAAAAAUCCUGGCUGUGUUCAUCAUUUUCCGGCCUCUCCCCUCCGGUGCUCUCGCAUAAUAACAGUCGAUGUUUCGCAGUUA